UUUCCGUAGGUGAACCUGCGGAAGGAUCAUUCAUAAUAAAGUGUUUUAUGGCACUUUUUAAAAAUCCAUAUCCACCUUGUGUGCAAUGUUAGAUCUCGUCAAUCUUGGCGAGAUUUUUAUACAUCAACUCAUCCUUUAACUAAUUUGUCUGAAAAAUAUUAUGAAUACUUAUUUCAAAAUACAACUUUCAACAACGGAUCUCUUGGCUCUC
rnacentral:misc_RNA from 1 species